GUGCUCGCUUCAGCAGCAUAGGUACUAAAGGUGUAACAAUACAGAGAACAUUAGCAUGGCCCCUGUGCAAGGAUGACAGGCAAAUUCAUGAAGCAUUCCGUAACAAC